rnacentral:rRNA from 1 species
UACAGAGGGUGCAAGCGUUAAUCGGAAUUACUGGGCGUAAAGCGUGCGUAGACGGUUGCGUAAGUCAGAUGUGAAAGCCCCGGGCUCAACCUGGGAAUUGCAUUUGAGACUGCGUAGCUAGGGUGCGGAAGAGGGAAGCGGAAUUUCCGGUGUAGCGGUGAAAUGCGUAGAUAUCAGGAGGAAUACCGAUGGCGAAGGCAGGUCUCUGGGCUGACACUGACGCUCAUGCACGAAAGCGUGGGGAGCAAACAGG